UCUGACCAUGCCACUGCCAGA
rnacentral:piRNA from 1 species